CCUACGGGAGGCAGCAGUGAGGAAUAUUGGUCAAUGGGCGGGAGCCUGAACCAGCCAAGUCGCGUGAGGGAAGACGGUCCUACGGAUUGUAAACCUCUUUAGGCGGGGAGCAAAGCCGGGCACGCGUGCCCGGAGGGAGAGGACCCGCAGAAAAAGCAGCGGCGAACGCCGUGCCAGCAGCCGCGGUAAUACGGAGGCUGCGAGCGUUAGCCGGAUUGAUUGGGUUGAAAGGGUGCGUAGGCGGAAUAUCAAGGCAGCGGUAAAAAUUCGGGGCGCCACCCCGUCGUGCCGUUGAAACUGCUGUUCUUGAGUGGGCGAGACGUCUGCGGAAUGCGUUGUGUAGCGGU
rnacentral:rRNA from 1 species